UACGGAGGGUGCAAGCGUUGUUCGGAAUUAUUGGGCGUAAAGGGCAGGUAGGUGGUCCCAAAAGUCUGCUGUGAAAUCCCCGGGCUUAACCCGGGAAGUGCGGCAGAUACUCUGGGACUAGAGUACUGGAGGGGUUCGUGGAAUUCCCGGUGUAGCGGUGAAAUGCGCAGAUAUCAGGAAGAACACCCGUGGCGAAAGCGGCUCUCUGGAACGGUACUGACGCUGAGACGCGAAAGCGUGGGGAGCGAACAGG
rnacentral:rRNA from 1 species